rnacentral:lncRNA from 1 species
UCCAAAUUAUUUUUACAUUGGUAAGCGAUUAGGUCAAAUUUAUCACUCAAGACUUCGUAUGCAAUGCAGUUCUCUAAAUCAUCAUCUUUUUGUUAAAAAUAUAGUGGCUUCGCCACUUUGUUUAUGUGGUGCUAUAGAAACGACAGCGCACUACUUGUUGCACUGCCCCCGUUUUCACAUUAUGCGUGAACAGCAUUUUUAUAAUAUCAAUAUAAUACAUUUUUUGUCGGAAGAAAUCUUGCUACACGAUUCAACGGACUCCAGCUACGAACAAAACAUUGAAAUAUUCUUUGCAGUUCAAACAUUUAUACUCAGUAGUAAAAGAUUUGUCAUAUGAUAGCACACAUAUUGUUCAACAAGUAAUACUUAUAUCUUAAAUAAUUGUG